AUGGGGAGUUUGCGCAAGGCCACCUUUGUUCUCCUCAUGUUCUGCUUGGCGGCGUUGGGAGGCGCGGAUUAUCUCAAGUACAAGGAUCCGAAGCAGCCUCUUGGCGUUCGCAUCAAGGAUCUGCUUGGUCGGAUGACUCUCGCUGAAAAGAUCGGCCAGAUGACACAGAUUGAGAGGGAGAAUGCCACAGCAGAGGCCAUGUCCAAGUACUUCAUAGGUAGCGUACUGAGCGGUGGAGGCAGUGUGCCUUCUCCUCAAGCAUCCGCCGCGGCUUGGCAGUCGAUGGUGAACGAGAUGCAAAAGGGCGCCCUUUCUACCCGCCUAGGCAUUCCGAUGAUCUACGGUAUUGAUGCUGUGCAUGGUCACAACAACGUCUACAAAGCUACCAUCUUCCCACAUAAUGUUGGCCUCGGAGCUACCAGGGACCCUAUGUUGAUAAAGAGGAUAGGAGAAGCAACUGCUCUUGAAGUUAGAGCAACGGGAAUUCCUUACGCUUUUGCUCCGUGCAUUGCGGUGUGUAGAGACCCAAGAUGGGGACGCUGCUACGAAAGCUACAGCGAAGACCCAAAGGUUGUCCAGUCCAUGACCACACUUAUCUCUGGUCUGCAAGGUGACGUUCCGGCUGGUUCUGAGGGAAGGCCAUACGUUGGUGGAAGUAAGAAGGUUGCUGCAUGCGCAAAGCACUAUGUCGGUGAUGGUGGUACGUUUAUGGGGAUCAACGAGAACAAUACAGUCAUCGACGCCCAUGGGCUGAUGACUAUCCAUAUGCCUGCUUAUUACAAUUCUAUUAUCAGAGGUGUCUCCACUGUUAUGACCUCGUAUUCUAGCUGGAACGGCAAGAAAAUGCACGCCAACCAUUUCCUUGUCACUGAUUUUCUGAAGAACAAGCUCAAAUUCCGGGGUUUCGUGAUUUCAGACUGGCAAGGCAUUGAUCGGAUUACUAGCCCUCCAGGCGUGAACUAUUCUUAUUCAGUUGAGGCUGGAGUUGGUGCCGGUAUUGACAUGAUCAUGGUUCCUUAUGCCUACACGGAAUUCAUUGAUGAUCUGACAUACCAAGUUAAGAACAACAUUAUCCCCAUGAGCAGAAUUGACGAUGCUGUCUACAGGAUUCUUCGGGUGAAGUUCACCAUGGGUCUAUUUGAGAGCCCCUAUGCUGACCCAAGCCUCGUUGGUGAACUCGGGAAGCAGGAACACCGCGAUCUUGCUCGUGAGGCCGUCAGGAAGUCAUUGGUGCUGCUGAAAAAUGGAAAAUCUGCCUCCAGCCCAUUGUUGCCUCUCCCAAAGAAGGCCGGUAAGAUCCUCGUCGCCGGAAGCCACGCCGAUGACUUGGGCCUCCAGUGUGGAGGAUGGACCAUCACAUGGCAAGGACAGACCGGCAACGACAAAACUGCCGGGACGACCAUCCUUUCGGCGAUCAAGUCCACCGUCGACCCCAGCACGGAGGUGGUCUUCUCGGAGAACCCGGACAGCGCCGCCGUGGACAGCGGCAAGUACGACUACGCCAUCGUGGUGGUCGGCGAGCAGCCCUACGCCGAGACGUUCGGCGACAACCUGAACCUGACCAUCCCCGCGCCCGGCCCCUCGGUGAUCCAGAGCGUGUGCAAGAGCGUCAACUGCGUGGUGGUGCUCAUCUCCGGCAGGCCGCUGGUGGUGGAGCCGUACAUCGGCGCCAUGGACGCGUUCGUCGCCGCGUGGCUGCCGGGCUCCGAGGGCCAGGGCGUCGCUGACGCGCUCUUCGGCGACUAUGGCUUCUCCGGAAAGCUGGCCAGGACGUGGUUCAAGUCGGUGGACCAGCUGCCGAUGAACGUCGGCGACAAGCACUACGACCCGCUGUUUCCCUUCGGGUUCGGCCUCACCACCGAGGCCAACAAGUGA
rnacentral:rRNA from 1 species